rnacentral:misc_RNA from 1 species
CUGAGUGAGGGAGCAAUCCCGACCUCCAACCCUUUGUGAACGCAUCAUGUUGCUUCGGGGGCGACCCUGCCGUUCGCGGCAUUCCCCCCGGAGGUAAUCAAAACACUGCAUUAUUACGUCGGAGUAAAAAGUUAAUUUAAUA